rnacentral:rRNA from 1 species
UACGUAGGGGGCAAGCGUUGUCCGGAUUCAUUGGGCGUAAAGGGUGCGUAGGCGGCGCGGUAAGUCGGGUGUGAAAUCUCGGAGCUUAACUCCGAAACUGCAUUCGAUACUGCCGUGCUUGAGGACUGGAGAGGAGACUGGAAUUUACGGUGUAGCGGUGAAAUGCGUAGAUAUCGUAAGGAAGACCAGUGGCGAAGGCGGGUCUCUGGACAGUUCCUGACACUGAGGCACGAAGGCCAGGGGAGCAAACGGG